CCUACGGGUGGCAGCAGUGGGGGAUAUUGCACAAUGGAGGAAACUCUGAUGCAGCGACGCCGCGUGAGGGAAGACGGUCUUCGGAUUGUAAACCUCUGUCUUUGGGGACAAAAAUGACGGUCCCCAUAGAGACAUCUCCGUAUAACUACGUGCCAGCAGCCGCGGUAAUACGUAGGGAGCGAGCGUUGUCCGGAUUUACUGAGGGUAAUGGGAGCGUAGGCGGGCGAGAAAGUUGAAUGUUAAAUCUACGGGCUUAACUGGGCGGUGCGUUCAAAACUUCUAGACUUGAGUGAAGUAGAGGCAGGCGGAAGGCCGGGUGUAGCGGUGAAAUGCGUAGAUAUUGGGAAGAACACCGGUGGCGAAGGCAGCCUGCUGGGCUCUAACUGACGCUGAGGCUCGAAAGCGUGGGGAGCGAACAGGAUUAGAUACCCGGGUAGUC
rnacentral:rRNA from 1 species